GACGAACGCUGGCGGCGUGCUUAACACAUGCAAGUCGGACGGUCGGCACUGGAAGGUUCGCUGGAAGGUGCCGGUAGUGGCGGACGGGUGAGUAACGCGUGAGGACAUGGCUCCAGGAGGGGGAUAACGUUUGGAAACGGACGCUAAGACCCCAUAUGCCGGAAGGUGAAAGUGGGCAACCAGCCUGGAGAGUGACUCGCGUCCUAUCAGCUAGUUGGCGGGGUGAAGGCCCACCAAGGCGAUGACGGGUAGCCGACCUGAGAGGGUGGCCGGCCACACUGGAACUGAGAUACGGUCCAGACUCCUACGGGAGGCAGCAGUGGGGAAUAUUGGGCAAUGGGCGCAAGCCUGACCCAGCAACGCCGCGUGAGGGAAGAAGGCUUUCGGGUUGUAAACCUCU
rnacentral:rRNA from 1 species